rnacentral:rRNA from 1 species
GAAGUCGGAAUCGCUAGUAAUCGCGGAUCAGCAUGCCGCGGUGAAUACGUUCCCGGGCCUUGUACACACCGCCCGUCACACCAUGAGAGUCGGGAACACCCGAAGUCCGUAGCCUAACAGCAAUGAGGGCGCGGCCGAAGGUGGGUUCGAUAAUUGGGGUGAAGUCGUAACAAGGUACC